rnacentral:rRNA from 1 species
GACGAACGCUGGCGGCGUGCUUAACACAUGCAAGUCGAACGGAAAGGCCCUGCUUGCAGGGUACUCGAGUGGCGAACGGGUGAGUAACACGUGGGUGAUCUGCCCUGCACUUCGGGAUAAGCCUGGGAAACUGGGUCUAAUACCGGAUAGGAGCCAUUUUUAGUGUGAUGGUUGGAAAGUUUUUUCGGUGUAGGAUGAGCUCGCGGCCUAUCAGCUUGUUGGUGGGGUAAUGGCCUACCAAGGCGGCGACGGGUAGCCGGCCUGAGAGGGUGGACGGCCACAUUGGGACUGAGAUACGGCCCAGACUCCUACGGGAGGCAGCAGUGGGGAAUAUUGCACAAUGGGCGCAAGCCUGAUGCAGCGACGCCGCGUGGGGGAUGACGGCCUUCGGGUUGUAAACUCCUUUCGCUAGGGACGAAGCUUUUUGGGACGGUACCGAGAUAAGAAGCACCGGCUAACUACGU